AUGAAUCAAAUACAAAGAUGGUCUUUUAGCGCCCCGUACAGGUCAGAUUAAGGAUGUGCAGAGUGGGAGAGUUCCAGGUGGAUUUAACAUUCAAGACAGUCGCCUGACCCCACACUGAAGACGGCUCGAAAACACAAACCAUCACAAAUAUGAGUUUCUCUGACCUGACUUCACCCUUCGACGUUUCUUCCAUGAGCGAAGAACAACUCGAGAGUUUGGUUGAACAACUUCAAGAUGCCGUCAGUAAUGUGAACGAGGAACUGAACAUGACUAAGGAAGAGCGAGAGGCUGUAGAUAAGGACGUGAAAAGACGCACUGAAGACCUGAACCGGAGGAUGGUGAUGGCGACGCAGACAGGAGGAGUGGGUGAGGCCCUGUUGGAGCUGGAGCAACUGAGGCUGAGGAGGGCUGAGCUGGUCCAGCAACUGGAGGGGAUUAAUAGCAGAAAAUCAAUCGCUACAAGUGAGUCAAGCCUCUGGUUGGGUGAAGUUGGAAAAGCUGGAGGAAUCUACCAAGCCAGGCCCAAGGAGGGGUCUACAACCACAAGGCCAAACAGCAGACAACAAGCCAACAAAACACAGAAGACAGAAGUGACAAGCUGUUUACAUUUGAUUUGAUUUGAUUUUAUACUGUUAGUAAGUAGAACUGAUUACGUUAUUAUUGGUGAAAUCUAGACAUUUUUGUGGUAGACAUUUAGAAAGAUUUGUAUUAGUAAUUUUGAUGGGUUGGGAAUAUAACUUGAGAAGCCGUGUUAAUAUUAUCUCUGAGGGACUGAAUAUUUUUCAGUGAAAUAUUUACUGUUCAAUAAAUUAAAGUAAUGAACCAAUGUAUGGUGACUUUUAAUGGACUUUACAAUGAAAUGGUUUAUCUAGGGGAACAUUUAUCGAGGGGAAAAGGAAAUAAAGGUUUUCUGUUGUGACUCA
ensembl:lncRNA